UCAUAAAAAUAAUGGUAACUAAGGUGGUGCCUCGAGUUCUCCUAAAAAAACAAAAGGCCAUAAGCUUAAAUCCUAGAAAACAAGCAAAACCUAAAAUUAAAACCACACACCCUAUCGUGUUCCAAGGCACUUUUCCUCUUCUUUGCAUCUUUAACCAUUAUCGAAGCUUUCUGGCUUACUUCCAUCACUGUAUUUUCCUUUAUAAUCCAGUACCAGACUUCUCCAAAAAUCUGAGUUUGUCAGAUAAAUAAGAACCAUUAUUUUUGGUAGAUCAUCCCCGAACUCAGAAAGAAAUGACCCAUCUUCACCAAUUCAAACAUCUUCUUUGAUUGUUGACGACAGUGGGACGGGCUAGUGAGAUUGUGCCCUCGAGCUACAAGGGUGUGCGCAACUUCAUUUGCAUUUCGAGGAGUAAAUUGAAAAGAUAAGUUAAGAAAACUGGGUAUUCUCUUAAUUUCAUUUAUAAUGUUGCCAAUCGUCGAUCUGUCCUUUGAGUCUAAUUUGAGUGUUUUUAUAACUAUUAGAGCAUCACAUUCUACUAUCAGAUCUCGAAAACCCAUUUUUUCCCAAAAUAUUACGACUUAAAGACACGCUUUGCUUCUACAGUGUUCGGAUCCCCGCUAUUGUUGUCAUGUUUUAUUGAAAAAGUGAUGCAUCAAAAUUAGCUUUAACUUAUUCUGCCUUGGAAGGUCUCCAUAGUUCCUCCUUUGGCUUAAUGUUGACCUCUGUUAUGGAUCUUAUUUCAUCUAACUCCAGAAUAUAAGCUUUAAUAAAACCCACAACCUCCUAUACCCUUCACUUUUUCCUUUCAUGGUAGUAUUUAUUUCUAUUAUAACAUACUUCCCAAACUGAAAUUGCCAUGACUGCACAUAAAUGAAUGUUAUUAAUGCAAAAGAAAGAGAUUGACCAUUGGUUCCGUGUUUGUUCUAUGUUUAUGUGUGAGACAUCAACCCCAACCUCCUGCAAGACCUUUUUUGUGAAUUCGCAAUCUCGAAAAAGGUGUUCCACAGUUUCUUCUUCUACUGAGCAGAUUGGACAAGUAACAUCAUUCUUGAGUCUUCGAGUCUUUAGGUUACGAAGCGUGGGGAGAUAAUUGUUAGUUACUCUCCAUAAAUGUAUUUUUAUUUUACUGGGAAUCGGGAGGUUCCACAGUUUUUUAAAAUAAGCUUUUAUAUUAGUUUGGUCUGUACAAUAACCCUGUAGAUGUAGGUAAUUUGUAAUUAUUCAUUUAAAACCAGUUUGAACUGUGUACUCGCCCGAUUUAUCUCCAUGCCAUAUUAUAACAUCCUAUUGAGUCGUGCUUACCAAUGGAAUAGACAGGAUUGCCUCGGCUUGUUCCCUUUCCAGUAAGUUCUAGAUUGCAUCAUAGUUUCAUGUAAAAGAUUAUUUAUUAAUUAGAUCUACUACUUUGGAAUAGUUUAUAUUUAUAAUCUAACUUUUACUUUUCCAUUUUAAAGGGUAGAUAGCCAAGCAUCAUUCCAGAUAUUUGUUAAUUCGUCAUUCCCUAUCCUCCAGCUUGUUCCUUUUUCCAAUAAACUACGCACAUUCCAAAUGCUGUGCCAGGUAAAAGAGGGGUAAGCUCCUAACCUUUCAUUUAAAAAUUACCACAUGGAUAAUAUUUUAUUUUCACUAUGCGUGCAAACAAACAAUUGAGUUGGAUGAAUAGUCUCCAUCCUUGUUUAGCCAAUAGGUAGAAUUGAACAUUGCUAAAUCCCUAAACCCCAAAGCCUCGAACGCUUUUGGACUGCACAUAACGAACCAAUUACUCCAAUGAAUGCCCUUAUUAGUUUUUAAAUUUCGCCACCAAAAUUUACUCAUCAAAUUUUCUAAUUCUCUGCAAAGCAACACUGGUAAUUUAAAACACUGCAUGGCGUACAUGGGAAGUGCUUGUAAAAUUUAUUUUAUAAGAACUUCUUUACCAUCAAAAGAAAAAUUACAAAUGCUCUAACUCUUGGUUUUUUGAAUAACUCUUUCUUUUAACUCCACGAACGCGUCCGUUUUUCUCCUACCUACCAUUGUUGGUAAGCCCAUAUAUUUUUUUGGGUUAUUUGAGAUUCAAACCCCCAAAAAUCCCUCUAUUUGCUCUUUAAGGUCAUCUUGUACAUUUCAGCUUAAAUAAAUCAGGGAUUUCUCGAAACUUACUAGCUGACCAGAAAUACUUCCGUACUCAUUAAAUACUGUUUUCAUUGUUGUUGCACCUUCCAUCAUUGCUCCCCCAAACAAUAGCUAUCGUUGGUAAAGGAAAGAUGGGUGAUAGAUAGAUCUCCUCUGCCCACUCUAGCCCAUCCAAUUGUCCUUCUCUUUUAGCCUUAUUCAGUAGCAUAGAAAGGCCUUUUGCACAUAUGGGCUCAGAGGGUCUCCUUGCCUUAUUCCUCUUGUUGGUUUGAAUUCUGUCCCUUGAUUCCCAUUAAGUACCACCAAACAGGAUACUGUUCUUACACACCUCAUUACAAGAUCAAUCCAACUGCUGCAAAAGCCUAACAUUUUCAUCAUAUCUUCAAGAUAAUUCCAUUCCGCUCUGUCAUAGGCUUUACUCAUGUCCAAUUUUAGGGAAAAAAAGCCUGUGCCUCCUCUUUUCUUUUUGAAAGAAUGUAAAAUUUCAUAAGCUAUCAUAAUGUUAUCAGUUAUUUGUCUUCAUGGGACAAAAGCAGCAUAUGUUUCUUUGAUGCAUAAGUGUAGAACUCUUCGAAAUCUAUUAACCAUUACUGAUCAAAACCAUGGUUGGAAGAUACCAUGGCAUCCUUUAGAACAUGAAAUUAUUAAGAAAUUAUUCGAAAAGGUACAUAAUUGGAGUGAGUAAUUUAUUAAACUAUUAAGGUUUUUGGUACGAAAAUGAAUCAAAUGAACAUAUAGAUGCUUUAUGACUCAUUGCAUAAUUAAGUUUAAAUAAUCUUGAUAUAGCAAAUUAUGUUACAUUCUAUACAAGCUUACUAAGCAUAAAUUGCUUACAUUGUUUUUAUUUUUCUCUUGUAGAUUUUGAAAAGCUUGGAUAGUUGGAAGAUCGAGUUGGAGCACAUACACUAUCCGUUCAUCAUCUCUGUAAAUGUUUUGGGUCAUUUUGAUGUUGGUUAUAAAUGACAUGUAUUAGGUUAUUUCGGUUAAGUUGUUCAUGUAGUUAUGUUUAGUACUUGAAAUGGUGAUACUUUGUAGUCAUGUAUAUAUGUUUGUUAUUUUGGUUUAAUGGUAUUCUAGUACAUGGUUUGGCCUCUAGUAGAUACUUGAUGAUGAUAUAUAAAUGUUGUUUAAAGGAUGUGAAGAAUUGGAAUAUUUGAGUAGUGUUAAGUACAUAUUUUAAAUGUUGCUUUGAGAUGAAAUUGUGUGAUUGUUGGAAGUAUUCAUGGAUGGUUUGAAUGAAUAGUAAGUUAGGUAUGUGAUUAUCUUUGUCCAAUGUGAAUUUAAAUGCAAGUUACAUUGGUGCAUGAUAGGUGUUUGAUUUGAUUUAUUUUGGCAAAUGAAUUAUGGUGUCAAUAAGGGCACAUUGAUUAGGCACCUAGGUUGAUUGAUUUUGGCAUGUUUUAGGUGUGUUUGAUUGAGUUCUAAUGUGUGAAUGUGAUUGGAAAUGGUUUGUCUUGGUGUUUAAGAAAGGGUAGUUGAAUUCGCUUGCAUUAGGGGUUAUUUUGGAAACACACGGCCUAAGACCCGGACUGUCACACGACCGUGUGGCACACGACCACACCACAUAACCGUGUUACUUUUAAAUAAGUGCAAGAUGAAUCACACGGUUACAGAGAGUUACAUGGUUUGCCAACACAGUCAUGUGACCUUACUUUGAAUGUACACAAGGUCUAGCACAUGGCAGUGACAUGGCCGUGUGACCCUAUUUCGAAUAUCCACAUGGGUUGGAACAUAGCCGUGUGUCGUAUAAUUCAAAUGUUAUGCGAUUGGCCAUAAGACCGUGUAACCCAUGUUUGCAAAAUUUUUUAUUUUUUUCAAAUUAGUCCCUGAAUAUUCCCAAAAUAUUUUUACGGCCCGUAAGCUUGGUUUAAGGUCCGUAGGUGAACUUAUACUAUAAAUGAAAUGUGUAUUUGAAUGUUAGUAUUUAAUUUGAAUAAUUGUUUCUGUUUGAAGUUAAAUGUUUUGAAUUGUACUAUAAUACUCUGUAACCUUAAUUUGGCGAUGGAAACAGGUUAGGGGUGCUACAAGGAGGUGGUGGGAACAGUCUAUUUAAUCUAGUUCAAAGUAUUUUGAAGACGUGUCUGAUUGAUCCAAGUCUCAACAAGAAUUUAUUAGUGCUGAUUCCUAAAGUGGAAGGGGUAGAAACGUUAGCACAGUAUCGUCCAAUCAGCUUAUGUAAUGUAAUAUACAAAGACAUUACAAAAACUUUAGUUAAUCGACUUCGACUAGUAAUGCAGUAAACUUUAGUUAAUCGACUUCGGCUAGUAAUGCAGUAAACUUUAGUUAAUCAACUUCGAUUAGUAAUACAAAAAUUGGUUGAACAGCAUCAAGAUAGCUUUAUAGCUGGGCAUAGCUUCUCA
rnacentral:lncRNA from 1 species